UACGUAGGGGGCAAGCGUUGUCCGGAAUCAUUGGGCGUAAAGCGCGUGUAGGCGGCCCGGUAAGUCCGCUGUGAAAGUCGGGGGCUCAACCCUCGAAAGCCGGUGGAUACUGUCGGGCUCGAGUGCGGAAGAGGCGAGUGGAAUUCCUGGUGUAGCGGUGAAAUGCGCAGAUAUCAGGAGGAACACCGAUUGCGAAGGCAGCUCUCUGGGACGGUACUGACGCUGAGACGCGAAAGCGUGGGGAGCGAACAGG
rnacentral:rRNA from 1 species